GAGCUCCACUCCAAGGUGAAGCCGUAGUGCUUAGAAAUGGGGAAAGAGUGAGGGGUAGUUCGGAGGGGCGCCGGCCUGUCGGCGCUCUUCUCCAACUUGUACCUCGACGGAUGAUUCUUUCUUAAGUAAGUGUUCGUGAUCUUCUAUGGUAGUUAGUGUUUUAGUAAAGUAAGUUUUAUUCUUUAUUUGCUUGCGGGAUCAUCGCCCGUUCUAGUGACGGGUGUUCUAUCCUAUGGACUCGAGUCUUGAGACAGAGACUGGCCGGGGCUAGAAUAGUAAUCAAUAGCAUGAUGUCUAGGCUUGAGGUUACCUUUGUUUGCAUCCCUUCCCCACAGUCUGUCUGGGUAGGCGGCAGGUGGUGAUAGCCCUGUCCGUCCUUCGUAGUCCCCUAUGUUCGGGUUGGGUGUAGAGGUAAUAGCCGGAUACUCUUGGCAGACCAAGAGUAAGCCGGUGCCCGAAGUGAGCAAGUAGAGGUGGAACCUAUUAUUACUAGCACUCUAAUCCAUAGGAAUCCUCUCUAUCCUCACCUACCUACCUCUUGUUUGUCCUUGGACGAACCUGUUAGAAGGUUAGUACCUCCGUUCCUUGUGGAAAUACGAUACCCUGAAUACUCACGGGUGAAGUGCUACAACGGUAUCUCCGUACGCUUGUGGAUCAUUCUGUGAACAUUAAGAAAUACCAAUGAGCAUUUCUGGCGCCGUUGCCGGGGAACGGUUGCUGUAUUGCCGUCGAAUCUAGUUCGUCCUCGUAUAUUUUCAAAACAAAACAAAAAAAAAUCUGUUUUCUUUUUUCUUUAGCUCUACCUUCACCCCUGCUACCCAUUUAAAUCUCGUAUCUUUUUGCUUUUCUUAUUUCUACCUCUACCCCCGCUACCCUUGGAAGGUUAUCCUCGUACACACCUUCCAUCCCUGUGGGGUGAGUCUUUAGAGCCAUCCUCUCUGGACUUAGUUCCUUAUCCGGCUACGAGAUUCACCCUCACGUCUUAUCGAUCGAUGCCAAUCAAAUCAAGUGAAUCAAAGUUCAUUUAUUAAUCCUUUAUUUUGAUUGAUUCCCAAUAGAAGUUAUGUUCACCCUUCCUAUCAAAUGAACUUCUAUUGGAAGCUUAGGAUGGAUUGUUUUGCCACCACGUUCAUCUUUGAUGAAAUGCAAGGCUUUCUACCUAAGGAGGGGAUGAGUUGAAAGAAAUUCAUUUCCCUCGUGACCCGAAGUCGGAAUUGUUCAGUUGGCCCACAGAGUUACACAUCCUCUUUCACUAUGGGACCAUGAACAUUAUUGAGUUGCUCUAUCCGGAGAUCAAGCCAUGCUCAUCCUUUGAUAUCUCCAAGACCUUUCUUCUUUUGUGCCAAGUUGUUGCGAGUCUUAUGAUCAUCUUAGGGUUUCCUACCAUAGAUGCCCUUUAGGAUGGUUGUUUGUGGUUCUUCUUAUCAUAAUAUCUAUGCAGGGCUCGUUGUUGUAUUUGUGCACUAACCUUGCAGCUUGAACAACGAUAAAUCAACAAAUGGUGGUAAAGCUGGGAAUUACAUCACCAUUGAUAGCUGUAGGAGGAAUCCCCAUGGUCGAGCUUGCGACCAUAAACAAAGCAUUGCCGGGAGAUAGCCCAGAGCAACAUAAAAAAUAAUCUUUCUCCUAAACAAAAAAAAGUAAGAACAUGUUUUUAAGCAUAGUACGCACCUUCGGGUAUUCUUGGUCCUAACCAUUUCAGGUGAUGAUUAAGAAGAACAGGGGACAUACGAUGCCCAAGAACAUGAGACAGCAUUAGCUGAACACUUUGAUGCUCUUUGGAGUUGGAACACACUCGAAAGGAGAUCAUGAAAUUGCACACUUGACUUCCACAUAAAAGUCCAAGUGCGGGGGAAAUCACUGAGCGUCUCGCUGCAAGUUCUAGCCAACCAAAGGAGUAUCCUUGUUUCAAGGUGUCAGCCUUGCCUUGCUUGAAAAGAAAAAGAGAGAGAGAGAGAAAAAAAAGAGAGAGAUAAAAAAAGAAGAAAAAAAAGAAACAAAUAAUGAGAGAUAAAGGAAGAAGGAAGGUGUGGGAGAGAGCCGGCAACCUUCACAUAAAACUCCAUCUGGUCCUGGCUCCACAGACUCAAGCAGCUCACGCACGCACACAAUUAAGAAAAUACUCCGCUUCCUUUCCAGGCCUUUGCUGCUCCAUUCAACACACCAUCACCGUAGCAACUCCAAGAUAUCCAUCCUAUAUGCUGACGGUAUGUAAACUCGGGUAAGCAAAGGUAAGGUUCACCAAUCCUUUACUCAUCCUUAUCUCCAUAGAACUUGAUCAUGCAAAACUCUUGCUUCCUUUGUUUAUGUUCGUAUGCUCUGGUUUGGAUGUAUUUGGAUGGUACAUCCAUAGGCUUUUUAAAUUAAGUGUGGUGCUUAGGUUAAAUAGCCUUCUUUAAUUAAGUUUGACAUGGUGUUGAAUUUUGAUUAAUGAACUUUGGGGUAAUACUACCAUAAACUUUGGAUGCAUGUCUUUUUGGCAAAACCCCUGCAAGAAAGUUUUCAAAUUUGUUGGGUAAAGUCACCAAGUUCAUGCUUGAGAUAACAAGGCCCUUUUCUUGCGCUUCAAAUAAUAAAAUUUGCACAACAUAAAAAAAGGCAUAUGUCUGUGUAGUUUUAUCUCAGCCUUGUUUGAGUUUUGCUGAAAGGAUAAAAAAAAUUUGGUGAACUUUAAAUAAAUAAAAAAACCUCUUUGCUAAAAAAAGUGAAUCUCUCUCUCAAAGAAAAAAAUUUUUGGCAAGCAUUCUGGGAUCCGUGCUCUUUAUAACUUUGAACCUGAUUUUCCUUAAAGCAUGGAUGUGAACAACAAAUCUAAAAAAAACAUUUCUAAAUUCUUUAAGCAUUCCUAGAGUAUUUGUUGUCCACUAACAUUUUGUAGGGAAGAAAAUAAACAACCAAGGAGCAGCAUACAAUAACUCCAUCAUCAACACAACGCUCCUUGGUCACAUGAGAAGAUAGAUGCACGAGGAACCAAACCGAACAAAUGCAAAGCUUUGCUUCAUGUAUAUGAACCAAACAUGUUGCACAUCAUCGACGGUUCAGCAUGCUAAAGAAUAGGACAGAAGGAAUCCAAGGAGGGAUGGUCGAGCUUUUGGCUCGACUAAACCACCUGUGACUUCAUGCGGUUCCCUCUUCUUCCUUCUUCAACGAUGGAGACCAUGUCUGCAUACGGAGGAAAAUCGUGCUCAAACAAAGAUAAAGGUACACUUCAAAGAAUUGUCUGAGAGCACAAGAAUUGGAGGGCCACGCCACAAAUCAAUUCAACCUCCAAGUCCAAGUAAAAAGACACUUCUGACAAAUCAGAGGCAGAUACAAGGAUCCAAGGGCCAAAUGACAUACCAAACCAAACAAAACUUCAAGGGAACACAAAGGAGCAACACCAGGGCCCACCUAUCAGUUGUCCAGAGGAAGGAGGGCCCGAGGGGGCGCCAUUUGGGGCCGGCCGACCCAUUGGGUAGUCGGACCCCUUACUAAGCCCAAAUAGGCCCAUCUUUUGCAUGCAGACUCCCACCACACUACCUAUGCCAGCCCCCCAUGGUUCCACCUCGGAAGUUCACUCAAGGAUCGACCCUUGGAGGGCUAUGUAAGGAGGAGGAGGAGAGCCCCCCCAUUCAACACACAACAAGAGAAGCAAAGAGGUCCACUCCAAGGCGAAGUCGUAGUGCUUAGAAAUGGGAAGAGAGUGAGGGGUAGUUCGGAGGGGCGCCGGCCUGUCGGCGCUCUUCUCCAACUUGUACCUCGACGGAUGCUUCUUUCUUAAGUAAGUGUUCGUGAUCUUC